rnacentral:misc_RNA from 1 species
AUAGAGUUCUCCUUAUUGUUUGACUCAGGUGUUGAUUUUUCAGGAGUUGAUUUCGGUCUUUCAGGGCUCGCUUUGACAGACCGAGGCAUGAUAACUUGUCUUGCUGGUGGCGGUUGUUCAAAAGAUGCACUAAGCGCUGUUAUAGCUGCAGAUUUGGAAGCCUGUUUUGCUGAAUCUGGGGUCACAGAUCUUGGAUAAAGCUUUCUGACAACUGGUGGUGGGGUUGAAAGGUUCCUGGCAUUAGGGUUCUCAAAAUUAGCAGCCAGGGCACUGAAAGCCGGCGACCUGCCCCUGACACGAACUCUUUCAGGACUGAAAGACAUGCUUCUGGAACGUUGAGAUUUUUCUGGCACACUAGACCUUCCUCCAUAGGAUACAGGUGUUCUUCGUUUGGGUUUAUCUACAAUAGGAGUACCCCCAUUUUUGACAAUUGCAAGCUUUCUCUGGAAUGAGUUUCCAUGCAUAGCAGAUUUUGCAGAGUCCCAUUCAAAGAAACGUGUGAAGAAAGGUGGCUCACUCC